AGUGAACGCUGGCGGUAGGCCUAACACAUGCAAGUCGAACGGCAGCACAGUAAGAGCUUGCUCUUACGGGUGGCGAGUGGCGGACGGGUGAGGAAUACAUCGGAAUCUACUUUUUCGUGGGGGAUAACGUAGGGAAACUUACGCUAAUACCGCAUACGACCUACGGGUGAAAGCAGGGGAUCUUCGGACCUUGCGCGAUUGAAUGAGCCGAUGUCGGAUUAGCUAGUUGGCGGGUAAAGGCCCACCGAGGCGACGAUCCGUAGCUGGUCUGAGAGGAUGAUCAGCCACACUGGAACUGAGACACGGUCCAGACUCCUACGGGAGGCAGCAGUGGGGAAUAUUGGACAAUGGGCGCAAGCCUGAUCCAGCCAUACCGCGUGGGUGAAGAAGGCCUUCGGGUUGUAAAGCCCUUUUGUUGGGAAAGAAAAGCAGCAGGUUAAUACCCCGCUGUUCUGACGGUACCCAAAGAAUAAGCACCGGCUAACUUCGUG
rnacentral:rRNA from 1 species